rnacentral:rRNA from 1 species
UGAGGAAUAUUGGUCAAUGGGCGGGGAGCCUGAACCAGCCAAGCCGCGUGAGGGAAGAAGGUACAGCGUAUCGUAAACCUCUUUUUGUUCAGGGAACAAAGGCGGGGACUAGUCCCCGGAUGAGGGUACCUGAAGAAAAAGCAUCGGCUAACUCCGUGCC